rnacentral:lncRNA from 1 species
GGGCAAAUGAAUUUCCUUAGGAGGUUCAUUGCCAACUGUGUAGAAAAAAUUUAGUCUUUUUCAUCAUUGUUAAAGUUGAAAGCAUAAGAAGAAUUCGCUUUGACUGAAAUAUAUCAACAAGUAUUUGAAGAUAUGAAAUAGUAUUGAUGUAGCCUCCAGUAUUAGUACUACCACAACAAGGAGUCCCAUUGAAGCUAUAUUUAUCUGCAGCC